rnacentral:rRNA from 1 species
CAGCAGCCGCGGUAAAACGAGGGGGGCAAGCGUUGUUCGGAAUUAUUGGGCGUAAAGGGUGCGUAGGCGGUUUGAUAAGUCUGAUGUGAAAUCUCUGGGCUCAACCCAGAGUCUGCAUCGGAAACUGUCGGGCUUGAGUAUGGGAGAGGUGAGUGGAAUUUCCGGUGUAGCGGUGAAAUGCGUAGAUAUCGGAAGGAACACCUGUGGCGAAAGCGGCUCACAGGACCAUUACUGACGCUGAUGCACGAAAGCUAGGGGAGCAAACAGGAUUAGAUACCCGGGUAGUCCCUGUCUCUUAUAC